rnacentral:rRNA from 1 species
CGGGGUUUGCAGGAGUCCCCUUCACAUGCAGUCGUACGAGAAUCCUGGGCAAGUGGGAAAGUAAAGUGGCGCACGGGUGAGUAACGCGUGGGUAACCUACCCUUGAAUUGGGGAUAACUCUUCGAAAGGGGAGUUAAUACCGAAUAAUAUUCCAAUCCCCCCGGGAAUUGGAAUCAAAGGUGGCCUCUGCAUGCAAGCUAUCAUUUGAGGAUGGGCCCGCGUACCAUUAGCUAGUUGGUAGGGUAAUAGCCUACCAAGGCAACGAUGGUUAGCUGGUCUAAGAGGAUGGCCAGCCACACUGGAACUGAGACACGGUCCAGACUCCUACGGGGGGCAGCAGUGGGGAAUCUUGCGCAAUGGGGGAAACCCUGACGCAGCAACGCCGCGUGGGUGAUGAAGGCCUUCGGGUCGUAAAGCCCUGUCAGGUGGGAAGAAACUUGUGGAUGUUAAUACCAUCCAUGCUUGACGGUACCACCGGAGGAAGCACCGGCUAACUCCGUGCCAGCAGCCGCGGUAAUACGGAGGGUGCAAGCGUUGUUCGGAAUUAUUGGGCGUAAAGCGCGUGUAGGUGGUUGUGUAAGUCAGAUGUGAAAGCCUUCUGCUUAACAGAAGAAGGGCAUUUGAAGCUGCUCGACUAGAGUACGGGAGAGGAGAGUGGAAUUCCCGGUGUAGAGGUGAAAUUCGUAGAUAUCGGGAGGAACACCAGUGGCGAAGGCGGCUCUCUGGUCCGAUACUGACGCUGAGACGCGAAAGCGUGGGGAGCAAACAGGAUUAGAUACCCUGGUAGUCCACGCCGUAAACGAUGGGCACUAGGUGUAGGAGGUAUUGACCCCUUCUGUGCCGAAGCUAACGCAUUAAGUGCCCCGCCUGGGAGUACGGCCGCAAGG